UACGGAGGAGGCAAGCGUUAUCCGGAUUGACUGGGCGUAAAGAGUUGCGUAGGUGGUAGUUUAAGCGAAUAGUGAAAUCAUUCCGCUCAACGGAAUGGCUAUUAUUCGAACUGGGCUACUUGAGAACGAGAGGGAUCACUGGAAUUCCCUGUGUAGGAGUGAAAUCCGUAGAUAUAGGGAGGAACACCGAUGGCGUAGGCAGGUGACUGGCUCGUUUCUGACACUGAGGCACGAAAGCGUGGGGAGCGAACGGG
rnacentral:misc_RNA from 1 species